rnacentral:rRNA from 1 species
UAACGCGUGGAUAACCUGCCUCACACAGGGGGAUAACAGUUGGAAACGGCUGCUAAUACCGCAUAAGCGCACAGCACCGCAUGGUGCAGUGUGAAAAACUCCGGUGGUGUGAGAUGGAUCCGCGUCUGAUUAGCUAGUUGGCGGGGUAACGGCCCACCAAGGCGACGAUCAGUAGCCGGCCUGAGAGGGCGACCGGCCACAUUGGGACUGAGACACGGCCCAG